UAAAAAAUUAACCAGGGUGGUGGCACCCACCUGUGGGGGCCACAGGGGUGGAGGCUGCAGUGAGCCAUGAUUAUGCCACUGCACUCCAGCCUGGGGCAACAGAGAGAGACCCUAUCAAAAAAAAAAAGAAAAAGAAAAAAAAGAAAAAAGUGAACAAUAGGUAAAUUACUAAUAAUGUGAUGCAUUAUGUCCUCCUCGUUCUUUUUUGUUAAACAUAAAUGUGCACAUAUGUAUUUUCAGUUUUAAAUUAAUUUUUAAAUUGAAAAAGUAUGUUUAAGAAUAACUUUUUAUGCUGUGCUUGGGGUGUAUACAAAGAAAAAUCUCCCAUAUCAGAUCUCCAAGGCUGUCUGCUCAGGAACAACCACUGUUUACUGUUACUUGGAUAUCCUUACAGAAAUAAUCUCUUUGCACAUCUAUUUUUAUACACACUUGUGCAUCUAGCUUUUUUCAGUUUGUGUGGCCAUCUCUCCAUAUGAGUUCAUACAGAGUUUUUAACAGUUUUAUUGAAGUGUAAUUUAUAUACCAUAAAAUUCACCCAUUUUUAACAGUACAAAGCAAUUAAUUUUAAUAAAAUGAAUAGAGUUAUGCAACUAUCACCACAAUCCAAUUUUAGAACAUUUCUACCCAUCCAAAAUGGAUUCCUUGUGCGCAUUUGUAAUCACUUCCAAUCUCACCUGCGGUCACAAGCAACCACUCAUAUUUCUGCCUCCAUAGAUUUGCCUUUGUUAACUCAAUUGUAGCCUAAAGCUGCCUCCUUACAUAUUUUAAAUUUAGCCUAAAGGUUUCUCUGUACAUUGUGAACUAUAACCUAAAUGGAGUUGUAAACAGACCAUAGCCUACUCUUUGCCAAUCACCGAGUUUUGGCCAAUCAAACAUGGCAAACUAUGCAAACCGUGUUCAAAUAAGGCAAAGACCAAGCUGUAAUAACCGGUGUUUUUUUUUUUUUUUCUUUUUGCAGGGGCCAUGCUAAUCUUCUCUGUAUGGUUCCAAUUUUAGUAUAUGUGCUGCCAUAGCAAGCACCAGUGUUUUUCUUUUAACACCGUUCUGGACGUUUUAUCUGGACAUACACUGUUGUUUUUCUGUCUAGCUUCUUUCACUUAGCAUGAUGCUUUCAUGGUUCAUCAUUGUAGUAUUCAUUUAUUGCAGAAUAAUGUUCCAUUGUACUGUAUAGAUAUACCACACUUUAUCCAUUUGCCAGUUAAUGGACUCUUGGGCUGCAUCCAGUUUUUGUCUAUUAUGAAUAAUGCCGCUGUGAACAUAUGAACACAUGGACAUGUUUGCAUUUCUCUACCUACAAGUGGAGAUAUAUAGACAGAAUUUUUUUUAAGGCUGUAUGUCAUUUCACAGCUGGUCUUCCACUGCUUGGAUGCACAGUAUUUUAUUUUAUUUUAUUUUACUUUUUUUUGAGACGGAGUCUCUCUCUGUC
rnacentral:lncRNA from 10 species